AUGGAAAAGAAAGAUGCUAAACCUAGACUUAUUAGAUGGGUUCUCUUGCUACAAGAAUUUGAUUUGCAUAUUAUUGAUAGAAAGGGAGCUGAGAACCCCAUUGCAGACAACUUGUCUAGGUUAGAGAAUGUUCUUGAUGACCCACUACCUAUUGAUGAUAGCUUUCUUGAUGAACAAUUAAAUGUCAUAAAUGCUUCUCAGACUGCUCCAUGGUAUGCUGAUUAUGCUAAUUAUAUUGUUGCUAAAUUUAUACCACCUAGUUUCACAUACCAACAAAAGAAAAAGUUCUUCUAUGAUUUGAGACAUUACUUUUGUGAUGACCCACAUCUUUAUAAAGAAGGAGUAGAUGGUAUUAUUAGAUGUUGUGUACCUGAGCAUGAAGAUGAACAGAUCCUAUGCAAGUGUCACUCCGAGGCUUAUGGAGGACACCAUGCUGGAGAUAGAACUGCACACAAGGUAUUGCAAUCCGGUUUUUAUUGGCCUACUCUCUCCAAGGAUGCCCGUAAGUUUGUCUUGUCUUGUGACGAAUGUCAAAGAAUUGGUAAUAUUAGUAGACGUCAAGAAAUGCCUAUGAAUUAUUCACUUGUUAUUGAACCGUUUGAUGUUUGGGGCUUUGAUGUUAUUGGCCUACUCAAAUUAAUUUUGCAAAAGACCGUUAAUAGAUCUAGAAAGAAUUGA
rnacentral:rRNA from 1 species